CUUCUUGAUCCUUCAGUGGUCCACAGACUAAACCGCUGGAGACACGAGAUGGUGGUGGUGAAGGUCUUGGGCAUGCUGAAUGUGUGAUGCAUGUUCGCUGCUGGUAGCCUGUAUGCAGUUUAUCAAUGCCCUUGUUACAUCUCCAGAAGGUCUUGAUUUCAGGAUACACUUGAGAAAUGAGUUUUUACAUUGUGGGCUGAAAAAUAUAUUGCCUUUUUUGCACUGAUAUUAAGGAAGUAUAUCAUCUGUUGUAUAAUAUGUUGAAAGAUACACCUUCUGAAAACUGCUUCCUGUCAAUUCUCCUACAUUUUCUUCUCAUCAGGAACGAUUAUUAUGUCCAGGAGGAAUCAGCUAUCUUGGUUGAUUUUGGAGUGAGGAGAAGGGGAUGAAUAGUAUCUUUAACAGUGUAAAAGUACUGCAUACAAAAUCUUGUUUUGAAAGACAGUGCU
rnacentral:lncRNA from 1 species